GUGCAGAGCGCGGAGGAGCCGCGAGCGCUGAGGGGCUGUUGCAGAUAUAACUGGUGAAGAUGAGGUCAUACUGGAGUAGGAUGGGCCUUGAAUCCAAUAGGACCGGUGUCCUUAUAAGAGAGGAGAUGGACACAUGAAGACAGAGACAUACGGGGAUCAGACAAUCAUGGACGGAGGAGGAAGAGAGUGCGGCGAUGCAUCUAGGAGCCACAGGACACCUAGAAUGGCCAGCAGCCGGUGGGAACCAGGAGAGGCAAGGACGGAUCCUCUCCUCCAGCCUUCAGAGGGAGCCCGGCCCUGACCACACCUCGAUCUCAGACUCUGACCUCCAGAACUGCGAGAGAAGAAAUCUCAGUUGUUUUAAUGUACGCAGCUUGUGGCACUUUGUGACAGCAGAUACAGCAGUACUGUGACAACACUAGGAAACGAAUACACCAUCCCAGCAUCUCUGCUCUGUUUUCCAUACAGAAUUGAACUAAGGACCAGGCAAGCUAAUGCAAGUCCAAACACUGUAAAAACUUUGGAGGCAAUCUAAGGAUGUGAGCCAGAUUUGUUUGCCAGAU
rnacentral:lncRNA from 10 species